GUCACUAUGGCCUGGAGCCGGAUAUUAACUCUUUGCUUCCUGUUAGCACUGCCCCAGCCAUUCUCUACAUACCCUUCUGCUCCGCGUACCUGCUUUCGAGCCAGCUGACCGCGCAAGGACUGAGACUACUGAAAUCCUCUCCCUGCAGCUUGCACUGAGUUUCCGAUGCGGCUUCAUUCAUUCCUGCUGUUUUGCAAACCCGCUGUCAGUCUCCAGAAGUAACAGAACAUCAUCACGUUAAGGUGACCACGGGGCACAGAACAGUAUCAACAGCAUCGAUCACGAUAGCUGAGCAUUUCCUAUGGGCCUCGAUGGGAACCAAGCUCGUCCUUCCAAGACGAAUUGCUCACCCUCGCAUGCAGCGUUGUGACCAGCUAUGUUAAUUGCUAUUACAUGGCCCUCAGCAAAAACUGAGCUGAAACCAAACCACAUCCUGAACACAAAGCGCUUCUCUGGAGAAGCACCUGACAUUUUGGGCUUUGGAUCCAGUAUGUCCAAAGCUUAUAACAGUUUCUUGCUGACCCCAAAGAUUAACCAGUAUAUUUAGGCUCUCUUUAUCAUGAUCUGUCUAUCAAGGUCAAGCAUGAAAAACAGCAAAAUUCUUUCAAGGCCCAAAAUCCUAGCCAUGCAUUAUGGAGAAAGAAAAAUCCUUGGGCUAUUGUAAGACAGCUAGGUAUGGUAUCCAGAGGGGAAUAACAACCAAACAGGGAAAAAAAGAGUAUAGUCAAAAAAUUUUGUAACUUUGAAAACAUUUAUUUUCACCAAACAACUCAUUAAAUCACUAUAAAAGUCAAUGCAUAUGAUCAAAUAUGACAGUUUAAAUUCUAGAAAGAGUUAUAAGUCAAGUUAAACUCAUAAUACAUAAUGUAGUCUGUGUGUCUCAUCCAUGAAUUACAACAUUUUUAUUACAUCCCAACUGCAAAUUACCAACUUGUUCCCUGUCCUGCCAAUCUCUUGAUUAAAUGGGGGACUGUUAGGCAUUGUGAAAAUAUAUUGCAGUAAAAGAUGACUUCAUCAUUUGUCUCAGUUAUUUCUACAUCCUUAUUUAAAGCUUUCUCACGAGAGCAGCUGGUCCAAACUGAAUUGUUGAUUUAGCAGAGUGAUAACAAAAGGGGAGAAGUAGAAAAAAAUUGGGGCCAGAAAGGCCAGUGUCCCAUCGUCAUUGUCUUGCUAUGUCUCAUCAGACCUUUCUUUAAUAUUUAUGUAUCUUCAAUACUUUUGCUGUCUGUUUUGAUCUCUUCAGUUCCUUCUCUUCAAAGUUAUUCUUGCUCUGCAGGCAUUAUGCCCACGGGCCCAACUUAAGUGUAUUGUAUUUUAUGUCUCACACUGAUAAUGGGGCAGUAACUUGUUCCCAUCAAGUUUCCCCAUAAAAUGGUUUAAUGUCUUGAAGUAGUCCCAAUAUGUCAGCCGAGGGAGUGAAUCAAAUCGACAUUUUUCCACAUUUAUUAGACAGCCACGCUGCAUUAGUUCCUUAUUUUUAAAAAACUCACUAAAAA